CCUACGGGAGGCAGCAGUGAGGAAUAUUGGUCAAUGGACGCAAGUCUGAACCAGCCAUGCCGCGUGAAGGAAGACGGCUCUAUGGGUUGUAAACUUCUUUUGUAGGAGAGUAAAGCUGAGGACGUGUCUUGAACUGCGAGUAUCGGACGAAAAAGCAUCGGCUAACUCCGUGCCAGCAGCCGCGGUAAUACGGAGGAUGCAAGCGUUAUCCGGAUUUAUUGGGUUUAAAGGGUGCGUAGGCGGAUAGAUAAGUUAGCGGUGAAAUGUACGGGCUUAACACGUGAACUGCCUCUGAUACUGUUUCACUAGAGUGUAGGAGAGGUAGGCGGAAUGUAUGGUGUAGCGGUGAAAUGCGUAGAUAUCAUGCAGAACACCGAUUGCGAAGGCAGCUUACCGGUCGAUAACUGACGGUGAGGCACGAAAGCGUGGGGAGCAAACAGGAUUAGAUACCCGUGUAGUC
rnacentral:rRNA from 1 species